rnacentral:rRNA from 1 species
UACGUAGGGUGCAAGCGUUAAUCGGAAUUACUGGGCGUAAAGCGUGCGCAGGCGGUUAUGCAAGACAGAUGUGAAAUCCCCGGGCUCAACCUGGGAACUGCAUUUGUGACUGCAUGGCUGGAGUGCGGCAGAGGGGGAUGGAAUUCCGCGUGUAGCAGUGAAAUGCGUAGAUAUGCGGAGGAACACCGAUGGCGAAGGCAAUCCCCUGGGCCUGCACUGACGCUCAUGCCCGAAAGCGUGGGGAGCAAACAGG